UACGGGGGGGGCAAGCGUUGUUCGGAAUUACUGGGCGUAAAGGGCUCGUAGGCGGCCAACUAAGUCAGACGUGAAAUCCCUCGGCUUAACCGGGGAACUGCGUCUGAUACUGGAUGGCUAGAGGUUGGGAGAGGGAUGCGGAAUUCCAGGUGUAGCGGUGAAAUGCGUAGAUAUCUGGAGGAACACCGGUGGCGAAGGCGGUCUGCUGGGCAGUUUCUGACACUGAUGCGCGACAGCGUGGGGAGCAAACAGG
rnacentral:rRNA from 1 species